rnacentral:lncRNA from 1 species
AUUGAACCCUGAAGGUCUGCUCCGAGUCGGUCGGGUCCGAAGCGCUCCUCUCUGCCCUCGGGGAGGCCCCGAAGCCCCAGACCUGGCAGCCCUUCCUGGAGUUGCACAGACCCACCUGGCUCCUCCUCCCCGAGGUAACAUGCUGAGCUUGGGUGGUGCUUUUCCUGCCACGGCAGACGCCGGGGUUUUGGAAAGUCCCAAGCAGUGCCUGCCACAUCCCUGUUGCACCCACCACGGGGUUCUCCCUGGAACCUUCUCACUCGCCGAAGUUUUCUCCACUGAUCUGGGGGAACGAAUUCUCUGGGAAUUGGGGGGUGGAAGGUGGGAAGGAGGUUGAUCCCACCCUUGCCCAUGGGUCUGUUACAGGCCUCUUGAACCCUUCUCAGGGACCUGGAGGACUUAACCAUACCCUCGGUCAUCCAUUCACCAUUCCUCGCCCUCCUCCAUAACACACGCGGAGCGCCCACGAGGAGCACCCUCUACGCUAGUCACACUCCGCCGAGCAGUAGGAAGACUCUGUCCCCAUAGAGCAUAGCACGACGAAGCUAAACUUUCCUCCCCACCCCUCGCCAAGGGACAGGCGAAGCUCCUACUCAGAAUUUGUCUCUUUUCUCCCCUCCCGGUUCCUGGUCUCCUCACAAAAGACCAGACUUCAACUCAAGCCGCCACCGUAUCCCAAAACCCCAAAGGUUUGCCCUUGACAAGAAGCUUCUUCAAGGGGAAAGGCUUUCUUUUGAUUGGGGUGAGGGAGGAGUUAGUGUUUCCUAAUGAACGUAACCAAAUGUCGGCCUGGCACAGUGGCUCA